rnacentral:ncRNA from 1 species
AUUCUGGUUGAUCCUGCCAGUAGUUAUAUGCUUGUCUCAAAGAUUAAGCCAUGCAUGUCUAAGUACACACGAAUUAAAAGUGAAACCGCAAAAGGCUCAUUAUAUCAGUUAUGGUUCCUUAGAUCGUUAACAGUUACUUGGAUAACUGUGGUAAUUCUAGAGCUAAUACAUGCAAUUAAAACAUGAACCUUAUGGGACAUGUGCUUUUAUUAGGCUAAAACCAAGCGAUCGCAAGAUCGUUAUAUUGGUUGAACUCUAGAUAACAUGCAGAUCGUAUGGUCUUGUACCGACGACAGAUCUUUCAAAUGUCUGCCCUAUCAACUUUUGAUGGUAGUAUCUAGGACUACCAUGGUUGCAACGGGUAACGGGGAAUCAGGGUUCGAUUCCGGAGAGGGAGCCUGAGAAACGGCUACCACAUCUAAGGAAGGCAGCAGGCGCGUAAAUUACCCACUCCCAGCUCGGGGAGGUAGUGACGAAAAAUAACAAUACAGGACUCAUAUCCGAGGCCCUGUAAUUGGGAAUGAGUACACUUUAAAUCCUUUAACAAGGACCAAUUGGAGGGCAAGUCUGGUGCCAGCAGCCGCGGUAAUUCCAG